rnacentral:pre_miRNA from 1 species
UCUUAUGUGUGAGCAAAGAAAGUGGUUUUUUGUAAUGGAAGCUACUCCUAGUGAAGACACUGUGAA